GUGAAAUCAUACUGUAACUUGUCUUCUUGACUAUAUAUGUCCUCAUCAUCAUCUUCAAACGCCCCAACACCAAAAGCCUGGAAAAGAAAGUUGUGAUUAGUUUCAAGUUCCAACCUUUAAACUCACAAGACCGAGAGGACUUGAAUGCAGAUGGUGUCCAUCCUUCAAGUGAUCCCACUGAAUUGAAAAAUCCGGCUGAAAAUCCUCCAGUGAAAGCUCCAUGAAAUCUGCGUCUACCAUGCUUAUCUGUGGCAACUUGAUCCUUCAGUGAGAAUGGUUUCUUCCUUGGAAAUGCAUCUAUAAUUAAAAGACAAGUAGCAUGGUAUUUAUUACUCUUCAGUCACUUAUGGUGAAGAUGUACAGCUAACUUUUACUAUCUCAUAUUCACUUACAGAAUUGUAAAGACAUUUAUAAUGAAAAAAUCUGCAUCUGAGAGAAAGAAUUAAAUAUGAAAUGGAAAAUAUUA